rnacentral:rRNA from 1 species
UGGGGAAUUUUGGACAAUGGGCGAAAGCCUGAUCCAGCAAUGCCGCGUGUGUGAAGAAGGCCUUCGGGUUGUAAAGCACUUUUGUCCGGAAAGAAAUCCUCUGGGUUAAUACCUCGGGGGGAUGACGGUACCGGAAGAAUAAGCACUGGCUAACUACGUGCCAGCAGCCGCGGUAAUACGUAGGGUGCAAGCGUUAAUCGGAAUUACUGGGCGUAAAGCGUGCGCAGGCGGUUUUGUAAGACGGAUGUGAAAUCCCCGGGCUUAACCUGGGAACUGCAUUCGUGACUGCAAGGCUAGAGUAUGGCAGAGGGGGGUAGAAUUCCACGUGUAGCAGUGAAAUGCGUAGAGAUGUGGAGGAAUACCGAUGGCGAAGGCAGCCCCCUGGGCCAAUACUGACGCUCAUGCACGAAAGCGUGGGGAGCAAAACAGGAUUAGAUACCCUGGUAGUCCACGCCCUAAACGAUGUCAACUAGUUGUUGGGGAUUCAUUUCCUUAGUAACGUAGCUAACGCGUGAAGUU